rnacentral:rRNA from 1 species
UUUAUGGAGAGUUUGAUCCUGGCUCAGGAUGAACGCUGGCGGUGUGCCUAAUACAUGCAAGUCGAGCGAACGGACGAGAAGCUUGCUUCUCUGAUGUUAGCGGCGGACGGGUGAGUAACACGUGGAUAACCUACCUAUAAGACUGGGAUAACUUCGGGAAACCGGAGCUAAUACCGGAUAAUAUUUUGAACCGCAUGGUUCAAAAGUGAAAGACGGUCUUGCUGUCACUUAUAGAUGGAUCCGCGCUGCAUUAGC